rnacentral:lncRNA from 1 species
GGUUGUUGUGAGGGAAAUCCUGCAAGCAUGUGACGGAGUGGCAGGGAGGGGACCGGAGGAAACAGAAAUGAGUCUCGUGCAUCCUGAGGCAAGAGUAUUUUCCAAGGGUUAGUUCCUCUGCAGCCUGAGUGGAAAAGAACAGUGGGAAGCUGAGGUCCUGCACUCUGGGCACAAAGCCACCAGCUGCCUAGAGGAGAUUGAAGUUAGAGUGGCAACAGGGACGAGAAGGUAGAAUUUGAAAAUGGUUGACAGGGUGGAGCCAGAGACAGCCAUCAGAAAAUUUGGACCAGCAACUUUCAAGGCAAUGAAGGUCUAUUGAAUGCAGAGGGAGGCUAUGCUCUUCACUGCCAGACAAAAAGAUGAGAAAAUGGGUCAAAAUCACAACAGGAUUAACUUGGUCGAGAUAGUCAGAAGAACUUGAUGGAUGUCAGAUUUGGGAAACUGGACCUCAUGACCAUGGUCCUGGGAAGUAAGUGUUUUUAUGAUACCCAUUUUCAAGAUGAGGAAACUAAGGAAAGCAGAAACUAAGUGAUUUUUCCCAGAGCCACAAAACUAGAUUAAAGCUAUGUCUUGUCCCAGAGCCAGCUGGCAGUAGAGACUCGCCCAGGUACUAAAAAGAAGGUGAAAACAGCUGGGGAACUCAAGGGGGUCCCCAUGAGCGAAGACAAAGACAGUCAGGCAGACCGGACCCCUGUGAUGCCUGACACCACCUCCUGCCUCCCUCUCAUGUCUCUCCAUCUCCACGGUGGCCAGCUCCCU